AAACGACUCUCGGCAACGGAUAUCUCGGCUCACGCAUCGAUGAAGAACGUAGCAAAAUGCGAUACUUGGUGUGAAUUGCAGAAUCCCGUGAACCAUCGAGUUUUUGAACGCAAGUUGCGCCCGAAGCCAUUUGGUCGAGGGCACGUCUGCCUGGGCGUCACGCAU
rnacentral:rRNA from 2 species